rnacentral:rRNA from 1 species
GACGAACGCUGGCGGCGUGCCUAAUACAUGCAAGUCGAACGAGAGCGACCGGUGCUUGCACUGGUCAAUCUAGUGGCGAACGGGUGAGUAACACGUGGGUAACCUGCCCAUCAGAGGGGGAUAACAUCCGGAAACGGAUGCUAAAACCGCAUAGGUCUUCGAGCCGCAUGGCUUGAAGAGGAAAAGAGGCGCAAGCUUCUGCUGAUGGAUGGACCCGCGGUGCAUUAGCUAGUUGGUGAGGUAACGGCUCACCAAGGCCGUGAUGCAUAGCCGACCUGAGAGGGUGAUCGGCCACAUUGGGACUGAGACACGGCCCAAACUCCUACGGGAGGCAGCAGUAGGGAAUCUUCCGCAAUGGACGCAAGUCUGACGGAGCAACGCCGCGUGAGUGAAGAAGGUUUUCGGAUCGUAAAACUCUGUUGUUAGAGAAGAACAAGUGCUAGAGUAACUGUUAGCGCCUUGACGGUAUCUAACCAGAAAGCCACGGCUAACUACGUGCCAGCAGCCGCGGUAAUACGUAGGUGGCAAGCGUUGUCCGGAUUUAUUGGGCGUAAAGCGAGCGCAGGCGGUUCCUUAAGUCUGAUGUGAAAGCCCCCGGCUCAACCGGGGAGGGUCAUUGGAAACUGGGGAACUUGAGUGCAGAAGAGGAGAGUGGAAUUCCAUGUGUAGCGGUGAAAUGCGUAGAUAUAUGGAGGAACACCAGUGGCGAAGGCGACUCUCCGGUCUGUAACUGACGCUGAGGCUCGAAAGCGUGGGUAGCAAACAGG